UUUUGAAAGUUAUCAGAAAGAAUUUGGUCAAAAAGUGCUUAGAGCUCUUUACUGAACUGGCAGAAGAUAAGGAGAACUACAAAAGUCUUAUGAGCAAUUCUCUAAAAAUAUAAAGCUUGGAAUACAUGAAGAUUCUCAAAAUCGGAAGAAGCUUUCAGAGCUAUUGCGAUACUACACUUCUGCUUCAGGUGAUGAGAUGGUUUCUCUCAAGGACUACUGCACCAGAAUGAAGGAAAACCAGAAACCUAUCUACUACAUCACAGGUGAGACCAAGGACCAGGUAGCUAACUCAGCCUUUGUGGAACAUCUGUGGAAGCAUGGCUUAGAAGUGAUAUAUAUGAUCGAGCCGAUUGAUGAGUAUUGUGUCCAACAGCUGAAAGAAUUUGAGGGGAAAACUUUAGUGUCAGUCACCAAAGAGGGCUUGGAACUUCCAGAAGAUGAAGAGAAGAAAAAGAAACAGGAAGAGAAGAAAACAAAGUUUGAAAACCUCUGCAAAAUCAUGAAAGAUAUCUUGGAGAAAAAAGUUGAAAAGGUCGUUGUGUCAAACCGAUUGGUGACAUCCCCAUGCUGUAUUGUCACAAGUACGUAUGGUUGGACAGCAAACAUGGAAAGAAUCAUGAAAGCUCAAGCCCUGAGAGACAACUCAACAAUGGGUUACAAGGCAGCAAAGAAACACUUGGAGAUAAAUCCUGACCAUUCCAUCAUCGAGACCUUCAGGCAAAAGGCAGAGGCUGACAAGAACGACAAGUCAGUGAAGGAUCUGGUCAUCUUGCUCUAUGAAACUGCACUCCUGUCUUCCGGCUUCAGUCUGGAAGAUCCCCCAGACACAUGCUAACAGGAUCUACAGGAUGAUCAAACUUGGUCUGGGUAUUGAUGAAGAUGAUCCUACUGCUGUCGAUAUCAAUGCUGCUGUAACUGAAGAGAUGCCACCUCUUGAAGGAGAUGAUGACACAUCACGCAUGGAAGAAGUAGAUUAAGCUUUCCCUGACAAAUUACUUGUAUAC